rnacentral:ncRNA from 1 species
AAACACGCAAUGACAGGCAACAGUAGAAUUCUUCUCCCUGUUUCAUAGAGAGCUGAUGGUUGGUGGAAAUCAGCACAAAGAAGAAAUCGAAUUACACCCUCGAGCAUUCCUUACCUAAACGCGGUAUACCUUCCGUUGUUUAAGUAAGGACGGUGCAUAGCCGUUAUAUAAAAAGAAGUGGCGGAACUACGAUUCCGCAAUUUAGGGUGGUACCGCGAUGCACAUUCGUCCCUGCU